CAGGGGGGCAGGUGUACCUUAAUGCAUGGAGUCAACCUCAGGUGUGACCUCUAGCCCACAGCAGCAGCAGCGGAGAACUCACGUUCUUCUCAGAGAAAGGAAAGAAGGGCAGAGCUGAAUCAAGCCUGCCCAGUUGUGCUCCCGAGAAGCACCUGUGCCCAGGCAGUGAGUGAAACUCCUAGAAGGAAGCAUCAGGGGAGGGGGGCAGCAUUCUCUGUCUUAGGAGAACAGACUCGUAAAGUGUGAGAGGUAGUUGCCUUGCCGUCUUGCUCAGAUGUCUUCAAGUCCUCACGUUUGCAUCCCCAACUUUAUUCUGCAGAAGAAAGCAGCCAAUGAUAUCUCAACCCCAUCUUUAAUGGCCAGUUCAUCACACUAAGGGGAAGGAGAUGUUUGAUUUUGUCUGAAUGCAAAAAGUUCAGUAGAUCCUAGAGGAAGCCUCCAGAGACUUGUUACAGAGCAAAGAAGAGGUUCUAAGGUGGAUGGGAAUCUUCACCCCCACAGAGAAGGAUGUGUGUCCAUGAGGAAAGGUGCCUUAAAAAUACUGGCCGAAUCAAAGCAAACAAGUGAACUUGAAAAUGGACCACAAAGAAAGAUGAACACAUUGCCCUGGAUGAACACAUCCUUCGGUGAGUUGAUAAGAUGUGCUCUUGCCUGAGGUCUCCACAGGAUGCUACCCGUGGAGGAAAGUGAUAGUCCUUCCUGAAGGGACCACUCAGCAUCAUCUUAUAUAACAUGUGAACAGGGCUGUAAUGCAGUGGAAGCUUAUAAAUGAUCUUGCUGUAUAAAGUAGCCUUGUUUGCCUGCACUGGACACUAAGCUAUGCAGAGUUUGUGUUAGGAAAGCAGCCCUGACACCAAACAUUUGAUCUGUCAAUUUAGUCUUGGAUUUUGGGAAUUUUCUCCACAUCCACUUCACGAGAAAGGCCAUUGCGUCACUACCAAGUGUUGAGUACAUUUUGAAAGGCACUUGAACCUUACAAGUCUCCCC
rnacentral:lncRNA from 1 species